UACGGGGGGAGCAAGCGUUGUUCGGAUUUACUGGGCGUAAAGGGCGCGUAGGCGGUCAGCACAAGUCAAUUGUGAAAUCUCCGAGCUUAACUCGGAAAGGUCAACUGAAACUGUGCGACUAGAGUGCGGAAGGGGCAACUGGAAUUCUUGGUGUAGCGGUGAAAUGCGUAGAUAUCAAGAGGAACACCUGCGGCGAAGGCGGGUUGCUGGGCCGACACUGACGCUGAAGCGCGAAAGCCAGGGGAGCGGACGGG
rnacentral:rRNA from 1 species